rnacentral:rRNA from 1 species
AGGGGCGGGGGUGCUAUACAUGCAGUCGAGCGGACAGAAGGGAGCUUGCUCCCGGAUGUUAGCGGCGGACGGGUGAGUAACACGUGGGUAACCUGCCUGUAAGACUGGGAUAACUCCGGGAAACCGGAGCUAAUACCGGAUAGUUCCUUGAACCGCAUGGUUCAAGGAUGAAAGACGGUUUCGGCUGUCACUUACAGAUGGACCCGCGGCGCAUUAGCUAGUUGGUGAGGUAACGGCUCACCAAGGCGACGAUGCGUAGCCGACCUGAGAGGGUGAUCGGCCACACUGGGACUGAGACACGGCCCAGACUCCUACGGGAGGCAGCAGUAGGGAAUCUUCCGCAAUGGACGAAAGUCUGACGGAGCAACGCCGCGUGAGUGAUGAAGGUUUUCGGAUCGUAAAGCUCUGUUGUUAGGGAAGAACAAGUGCAAGAGUAACUGCUUGCACCUUGACGGUACCUAACCAGAAAGCCACGGCUAACUACGUGCCAGCAGCCGCGGUAAUACGUAGGUGGCAAGCGUUGUCCGGAAUUAUUGGGCGUAAAGGGCUCGCAGGCGGUUUCUUAAGUCUGAUGUGAAAGCCCCCGGCUCAACCGGGGAGGGUCAUUGGAAACUGGGAAACUUGAGUGCAGAAGAGGAGAGUGGAAUUCCACGUGUAGCGGUGAAAUGCGUAGAGAUGUGGAGGAACACCAGUGGCGAAGGCGACUCUCUGGUCUGUAACUGACGCUGAGGAGCGAAAGCGUGGGGAGCGAACAGGAUUAGAUACU